rnacentral:rRNA from 1 species
AAGAGACAGCAGUCGCCACGGUAAUACGUAGGGUGCGAGCGUUAAUCGGAAUUACUGGGCGUAAAGCGUGCGCAGGCGGUUUUGUAAGACAGGCGUGAAAUCCCCGGGCUCAACCUGGGAAUGGCGCUUGUGACUGCAAAGCUAGAGUGCGGCAGAGGGGGAUGGAAUUCCGCGUGUAGCAGUGAAAUGCGUAGAUAUGCGGAGGAACACCGAUGGCGAAGGCAAUCCCCUGGGCCUGCACUGACGCUCAUGCACGAAAGCGUGGGGAGCAAACAGGAUUAGAUACCCGAGUAGUCCCUGUCUCUUAUAC